UAUGGUAUGCUGCUACGAAGCCACGC
rnacentral:sRNA from 1 species